UUACACAAUAACAAGGCGGGCUGGACACCCCCAGCCGGGCACUGCUUCACGGCGUGCGCGGCUGGGCCGGCCCUGCUGAAUUAUUCACCCGUGUCUUUUGCGUACUUCUUGUUUCCUGGGUGGGCUCGCCCGCCAUCAGGACCAACCACAAACCUUUUGCAAUAGCAAUCAGCGUCAGUAACAACGUAAUUAAUUACAACUUUCAACAACGGAUCUCUUGGUUCUGGCAUCGAUGAAGAACGCAGCGAAAUGCGAUACGUAGUGUGAAUUGCAGAAUUCAGUGAAUCAUCGAAUCUUUGAACGCACAUUGCGCCCUUUGGUAUUCCAAAGGGCAUGCCUGUUCGAGCGUCAUUUGUACCCUCAAGCUUUGCUUGGUGUUGGGCGUCUUUUGUCUCCAGUUCGCUGGAGACUCGCCUUAAAGUCAUUGGCAGCCGGCCUACUGGUUUCGGAGCGCAGCACAAGUCGCGCUCUUUGCCAGCCAAGGUCAGCGUCCAGCAAGCCUUUUUUUUCAACCUUUGACCUCGGAUCAGGUAGGGAUACCCGCUGAACUUAAGCAUAUCAAUAA
rnacentral:misc_RNA from 1 species